ACUUAAAUUGAAGAGUUUGAUCAUGGCUCAGAUUGAACGCUGGCGGCAGGCCUAACACAUGCAAGUCGAGCGGUAGCACAGAGAGCUUGCUCUCGGGUGACGAGCGGCGGACGGGUGAGUAAUGUCUGGGAAACUGCCUGAUGGAGGGGGAUAACUACUGGAAACGGUAGCUAAUACCGCAUAACGUCGCAAGACCAAAGUGGGGGACCUUCGGGCCUCAUGCCAUCAGAUGUGCCCAGAUGGGAUUAGCUAGUAGGUGG
rnacentral:rRNA from 2 species